CCUUGCACACACCGCCCGUCACACCACGAGAGCUGUUUGUACCCAAAGUUGCCUUAGCUAACCCGUAAGGGAGGCGGGUACCAAAGGUAGGUGAGGAGUGAUUGGGGUG
rnacentral:rRNA from 1 species